GACGAACGCUGGCGGCGUGCUUAACACAUGCAAGUCGAACGGAAAGGCCCUGCUUGCAGGGUACUCGAGUGGCGAACGGGUGAGUAACACGUGGGUGAUCUGCCCUGCACUUCGGGAUAAGCCUGGUAAACUGGGUCUAAUACCGGAUAGGAGCUAUUUUUAGUGUGAUGGUUGGAAAGUUUUUUCGGUGUAGGAUGAGCUCGCGGCCUAUCAGCUUGUUGGUGGGGUAAUGGCCUACCAAGGCGGCGACGGGUAGCCGGCCUGAGAGGGUGGACGGCCACAUUGGGACUGAGAUACGGCCCAGACUCCUACGGGAGGCAGCAGGGGGGAAUAUUGCACAAUGGGCGCAAGCCUGAUGCAGCGACGCCGCGUGGGGGAUGACGGCCUUCGGGUUGUAAACUCCUUUCGCUAGGGACGAAGCUUUUUGUGACGGUACCUAGAUAAGAAGCACCGGCUAACUACGUG
rnacentral:rRNA from 1 species